rnacentral:sRNA from 1 species
CUAAUAUUUUAAUAUUAAAAAGAUUUCAAAUAUUUUAUUCGAGUGUAAAA